rnacentral:rRNA from 1 species
GGAUUAGAUACCCUGGUAGUCCACGCCGUAAACGAUGUCUGCUAGCCGUUGGCGACUUUAAGUUGCUAGUGGCGCAGCUAACGCGAUAAGCAGACCGCCUGGGGAGUACGGCCGCAAGGUUAAAACUCAAAUGAAUUGACGGGGGCCCGCACAAGCGGUGGAGCAUGUGGUUUAAUUCGAUGCAACGCGAAGAACCUUACCAGGUCUUGACAUCCCGAGAAGUCGCUAGAGAUAGCUUCGUGCCUUCGGGAAUUCGGUGACAGGUGCUGCAUGGCUGUCGUCAGCUCGUGCCG